rnacentral:RNase_P_RNA from 1 species
CAAGUAAGACAGGUAAUCGCGGCUGUCAGAACUGAAAAGGGACAGGCGAGGAAAGUCCGGGCUUCACAGGGCAGGAUGCCGGAUAACGUCCGGUGGAGGUGACUCCAAGGCCAGUGCAACAGAAAUAUACCGCCUGCGUAUGCAGGUAAGGGUGGAAGGGCAGUGUAAGAGACUACCGCCUGGCUGGUAACAGACAGGGCAUAUGUAAACCCCAUCCGAAGCAAGACCGGAUAAAGACGAUGUGGCGGCCCGUCACGUCUUAGGUAGGUUGCUUGAACCUGCUGGUAACAGCAGGUCUAGAAAGAUGAUUACCCAACGACAUAACCCGGCUUAUCGUUUUGCUUGCUUU